CGAUCCAAAUCCCCAUCGUUUCCGAUCGAUCUACUGUCCCUCGCCCAGUCUUGACUCCGUAUAAAUAGUCCCCUUACUCUCCUCUGCCGAUUUUGGCAAAUCCCUUCUCUCGUGCCUGUUUCACCUCGCCCGGAUCUCGCCGGAGUCCACCACCGCAGGAGCACCUCCACCACUCGAUUUCAUCGCCACAGAAGGGAAGCACCCACCCGAGUGCUUCGACCUCCGCCCCGACGAACAUCGCCGUCGCCGCUCUAGCCGAACCUCACCUACGUUAGCAGAAGGCCCGGUCAUCCCGGAGGAUGUUUUGGAGUUCGACAUGUCCCUCCUCGCCUCGUCCUAUUCUCCCCGAGCUCGGGAGGCCUCUCCAGCGACGCCAGCUUCAAAUCUGAGCCGUGCCGGCGCCGUCUCGUCAAUUCCGGCCGCAACUCUGUUCCUCUCUGAUUGUCCGGAGUGUG